AUAAAUGCGCUCGUAAUACACGGAUCGGACCCGGGGGCGGUACCCGGCGACUCCACCAAAGCAUGCUUCAUUUGAGCAUUAUGGGGUCGAAACAGGAUCGACGGACGUCUAAAGGGGUUAGCUUUGUUUCGGCUGUCUGCCACCGUUAUCGGCGAAAACUGUACAAUUGCAAAUGACAAUCGUGCUCCGGUAGCCCUCGCUGCGUAAGCAGUUCGGAAAACCGAAAAUUAAGCCCUUAUGCCUAGCAGCGUAAGGCGGGGUUCGCAG
rnacentral:tmRNA from 12 species